rnacentral:lncRNA from 1 species
UUCACCAACACAUAGCAAAAUUUCCUUUUCUUUCCCUCCCUUGCUACCUACGGCCGAGAACCAACCCACCCCCAACAUCACUUUUCAAUUUUGGUCAAGGCUAUCUAUUAUCAUACAAGUGUGAAGGGUCACACACAAGGAGGCUUGGUGCUUACGGAAUCACAAGAACCUCACUACAUCGCUAUUAACCACCCAUUUUUCGUCUAGUUUCUUCCCUAGCCUCGAGCUAGUAUAGUAGAACGGAUCGUCAACUAACCGGGCUAGGUCAUGUUCAUGAAACAUGAACUAGUGAUAGGUUAAGUGUAAAAAUGGUAACUAAAGGUGGAUGUGCGCGCGGUCUUACUUAUGCUCGUGGAUGUCGCUAUGUUUUAUUUUCGCUAAAUAAAGUUGUAACUUUUAAGACAAUAUGCUACCACGUGUUGUAAACACUUGACUUAUGUUUUCGGUAAUGUAAUGUUUGAAGUUAUUUUGAGCAUAUAGUAUGUUUACCUUUCGUAUGCAAUGAGAACCUUUCAUGAUCACACCUCGUGCUUCCGCCGCAGAAAGGGGUGUGACUAAUACAAGACAUGUUCAGGUGGAGGUUUCAGAAUCUUCAGUAACAAUAAGCUGAUGAAGGUGAAUGUGAUGACAUUGAUGAAGAUCAAGAUGAAGACUUCGAGUAGGAAGAAGAUGACACAAGUGAUGGAUACUAUUCAGAUAAAGUACCUUCUGACUUAGGAUUUUAAUUUUUUUUUCCUCUUUUUUUUUCUACUAUGUAAUCUUCUUUUUUUAAGAUAAUUAAAUGAUAUAUUUCUAUCUU